rnacentral:tRNA from 1 species
GGGUGACAGGCCCCAAUGGUGGGGCAGCAGACUGUAAAUCUGUGGCCUCCGGGCAUGCUAGGUUCGAUUCCUAGGUCACCCA